rnacentral:siRNA from 1 species
ACCUCUAAACUUCGCCUAGGGUCU